rnacentral:rRNA from 1 species
GCGGCGGACGGGUGAGUAAUGCCUAGGAAUCUGCCCGAUAGUGGGGGACAACGUCUCGAAAGGAACGCUAAUACCGCAUACGUCCUACGGGAGAAAGCAGGGGACCUUCGGGCCUUGCGCUAUCGGAUGAGCCUAGGUCGGAUUAGCUAGUUGGUGGGGUAAAGGCUCACCAAGGCGACGAUCCGUAACUGGUCUGAGAGGAUGAUCAGUCACACUGGAACUGAGACACGGUCCAGACACCUACGGGAGGCAGCAGUGGGGAAUAUUGGACAAUGGGCGAAAGCCUGAUCCAGCCAUGCCGCGUGUGUGAAGAAGGUCUUCGGAUUGUAAAGCACUUUAAGCUGGGAGGAAGGGCAGUAAGUUAAUACCUUGCUGUUUUGACGUUACCAGCAGAAUAAGCACCGGCUAACUUCGUGCCAGCAGCCGCGGUAAUACGAAGGGUGCAAGCGUUAAUCGGAAUUACUGGGCGUAAAGCGCGCGUAGGUGGUUCAGCAAGUUGGAUGUGAAAGCCCCGGGCUCAACCUGGGAACUGCAUCCAAAACUACCGGGCUAGAGUAUGGUAGAGGGUGGUGGAAUUUCCUGUGUAGCGGUGAAAUGCGUAGAUAUAGGAAGGAACACCAGUGGCGAAGGCGACCACCUGGACUAAUACUGACACUGAGGUGCGAAAGCGUGGGGAGCAAACAGGAUUAGAUACCCUGGUAGUCCACGCCGUAAACGAUGUCAACUAGUUGUUGGGUUCCUUGAGGACUUAGUAACGAAGCUAACGCGAUAAGUUGACCGCCUGGGGGAGUACGGCCGCAAAGGUUAAAACUCAAAUUGAAAUUGACGGGGGCCC